UACAGAGGGUGCGAGCGUUAAUCGGAGUUACUGGGCGUAAAGGGCGCGUAGGCGGUUUUGUAGGUGGGAUGUGAAAGCCCUGGGCUUAACCUGGGACGUGCAUACCAAACGCCAAAACUGGAGUAUGGGAGAGGGUGGUGGAAUUUCCGGUGUAGCGGUGAAAUGCGUAGAGAUCGGAAGGAACGCCAGUGGCGAAAGCGACCACCUGGCCCAAUACUGACGCUGAGGCACGAAAGCGUGGGGAGCGAACAGG
rnacentral:rRNA from 1 species